GUGGCGGAUGAAGUCUGAUGUUAGAAGCUUCUGUGUAAUCUGCCAUAAGUCAUGCAAAAAUGUACUGUGCAUGUAUUUAGGAUAUGUUAGUAUAAAGGGGUAAAACCAUGUUAAUGCCUUUAUUUCCAUUUUUCUCAAUGACAACUUUUGGUAUUUGCAGGUGUCUUCCAGCAAGGAUGCCUACUCUCAUGGGAUCUUUGGCAUUGGGAAGUACAGGACGGAGUUCCUGUCAAGAUUGCAGAAUUUGGAAGUCUGGAUGACUAGACAGAAAUAAUUACUUUAUGAAAUAGAAAUGGAAGAACUCGAUACAAGUCCAACAAUUGUGGAUCCUACAUGUUCAGUGCCACUUGAGUAGGUGUGGUGUUCAUAUAAAGUCGCUGACUGAAGAGUGGUGGCUUCAAAGCCAUCUGUGUGGUUGCUUGUGUGCAGACACUUUUGGUAGCACUGUCUCGGUUUUUCUGGAGAUGUGAAGGUGCAGACAGUUCUGAAGAUGGAUGGAUACAGAUGUAAUGCAGAUUUGAUGUAUGCAUAUAAUUUUGCUAUUAUAUAAAGUGUGUAAACUCAAUAAAUAGUAUGGAAAGUU